AUUGAACGCUGGCGGCAGGCCUAACACAUGCAAGUCGAGCGAGCGGCGGACGGGUGAGUAAUGUCUGGGAAACUGCCUGAUGGAGGGGGCUAACUACUGGACACGGUAGCUAAUACCGCAUACCAUCAGAUGUGCCCAGCUGGGAUUAGCUAGGAGGUGGGGUAAAGGCUCACCUAGGCUACGAUCCCUAGCUGGUCUGAGAGGAUGACCAGCCAAACUGGAACUGAGACACGGUCCAGACUCCUACGGAAGGGAGCAGUGGGGAAUAUUGCACAAGGGGCGCAAGCCUGAUGCAGCCAUGCCGCGUGGUUGAAGAAGGCCUUCGGGUUGUAAAGCACUUUCAGCGAGGAGGCGUUACUCGCAGAAGAAGCACCGGCUAACGCCGUGCCAGCAGCCGCGGUAAUUC
rnacentral:rRNA from 1 species